CCUGAAUUCACAGGAUUCCCUGAAGACUGAUACAAAAGACUGAUUGUUUGGUUUUGUCUUUCCAAAACAUUCUUCGCCAGUGGCCUGUUUGAUGAACGAUAAAGAAAAGUGGGAUCAGUCCCCUGCCUUCAUUGAUCAAUCAAUCAGACCAAUCAUCAAUCAUCUACAGAAGUGAAUAGUCUUCGUUUGUGGAGGGAGAUGUUACUGCCAUGUGAUCAGAAGAACCUCAUAUAGCCGGUUCCUCAUUCUGACCCCGAGUCUGAUCAUGUUUAACAUUCACGGCUGUGGACAUGAAAGGACUAAAAGUGAUGCACAAGGGUUUUUUUCCGUCUCAUAUCGGCCUGAAAUGCAAACAGAGUUUUGAGUUGAUGGUGAAAUCUUGACUGAUUGUCCACUAGUUAAAGGACUGUGUAAUAUAAGUCUC